rnacentral:lncRNA from 10 species
GCUGCGGGACCUGCUGGUGCAGACGCUGGAGAACAGCGGGGUCCUGAACCGCAUCAAGGCUGAACUCCGAGCAGCUGUGUUUUUAGCACUAGAGGAGCAAGAAAAAGUAGAGAACAAAACUCCUUUAGUUAAUGAGAGCCUGAAAAAGUUUUUAAAUACCAAAGACGGUCGUUUAGUGGCUAGUCUUGUUGCAGAAUUUCUUCAGUUUUUUAACCUUGACUUUACUUUGGCUGUUUUUCAACCUGAAACUAGCACACUGCAAGGUCUCGAAGGUCGAGAGAAUUUAGCCCGAGAUUUAGGUAUAAUUGAAGCAGAAGGUACUGUGGGUGGACCCUUAUUAUUAGAAGUGAUCAGGCGGUCUUACCAAAGGAUAGGUUGGGGUCUGUCUUAGUCUGUUCAGGCUGCCAAGUACCAUAGAUUGGGCAGCUUACAAACAACACAUUUUUCCUCACAGUUCUGG